ensembl:lncRNA
AGAGUGAGAAGGACAUUUUCCACAGAAAUUUUGUGCCCUUCAGUCUGGUCAAGUGGGUAAAAUAUCAUGGAUCCUGGCCACAAGCACAAGAUACCGAAAGGCUGCUGUCAGGUCUUCCCAGAGCCUUCUCUUUUUCCAGGCUGAACAACCCCAGCUCUCUCAGUCUGUCCUUGUACGAGAAUUGUUCCAUCCCUUGGGUCAUUUUUGCAGUCUUCGUCUGGAAGCGUUCCAACAGAUCCACAUUUCUCCUGUACUGAGGACUCCACAGCUGACAUGGUAGUUCAGCUAGAGACAAGGAAAAUGGCAUACAUCCCAAGCAGUGAUGGGAGAAUCUCUGAAGAAACCUUUAUGAAGUCACGAUGCCAGAUCCCAAACUAGGACGUAAACAGAUGUGUGGAGAUGGCCUCACAUUUAAUGGAUGGGCUGUGUAUGACCUGUCAGGCUUCACGCACCAGCUGUGAGACAUGCAUGCUGAACUCUCAUCUCCUCCUCCUACACGUCAGACAGUGACGGAGUAAUGGGUGCUGUUGCAGCGCAGAUCAGAUCAGCACAAUUCACUCCAACUCACUCUUGCAGGUUCCCAAAAUUACAAGCCCAGCACUGCCUGGUGCUUUGAGAAAAACUCAGCGAGAAACUGAGUAUGAAGCCAGCUCAUGCUACGGCAGUCUUGCUCACCAAGCAGCAGUGUUAUAAGUACAUUAGCAUUUAGCAAAAUUGUACAAAGCCACGGUCCUGCCUCGAG